rnacentral:misc_RNA from 1 species
AAGUCGUAACAAGGUUUCCGUAGGUGAACCUGCGGAAGGAUCAUUACUGGGUCAGCGGCUUGCCGCAACCACCCACCCUUAAACCAGUGGCCAGAAGUCGGCAUGGAGGCGAACCCCCUCUUUCGAUUAGGGGCUUAGCCCGCCGGAAUCUCGCAACCCUGCCUGAACAUUGCCGUCUGAGAAUGUGGGGAAUCAGCGAAAA